rnacentral:rRNA from 1 species
AACGGCCGUACCAUGCUGAAUAUACCGGUUCUCGUUAGAUUACCGAAGUCAAGAAUCAUAGGGCGCGGUCAGUACUUGGGUGGGUGGACCACGUGGGAACACCGCGUGCCGUU